UCAGAAACAGCUCGUCAACCACCUCGGUAGCUUGCUAGCCAACAUAGCCGAAAGAUUCAAGCUAAUUAUACGCUUUCGGUCUAUAUUAGCUUCUGUGUUUUAGAAGUACUUCUGUCGUAUCUACGUGAUAACCUAUUUAAUUUCAUAUUACGUUAUUUUGUAUUAGUCAGCUAUAGUAGCUGGCUGGUUAAGUUAGCACUAGCCUAGUCGCUAAUGAUACAUAACUAACAUCCCCGAACAUGAGCUCCCUAAACAUCUCCCCUCCUGUUAAAGAAGAGGAGAUCUGCUGGACGGAGAAAGAAACUCUGGGGCUGAACAUUGUCGUGAAAGAGGAGAAGGAAGAGGAGGAUGUCACAGUAAAAAAAGAAGUAGAGGGUGAUGCUGUUACAGUGAAAGAAGAAGAGAAAGACGUUACAGUGAAAGAAGAGGAAGACUCGUUCAGAGUGAAAGAGGAGGAGGAUGUUUCAGUAAAAGAAGAGGAAGAGGAGGGUGUAGUGUUUGGAGUGAAGAAGGAAGGAAAGGAGGAGACGGAAGGAGAGAGAUGUGACCUCCGUGGAUCCUCUGGGGAGCCUCAACAACAUCAUGAACCUGAUGAGGCAGAGAAGAGUCUCUUCACAUCAGAACACCACAAGAAACACCAUCAGAGACCCACAGGAAAGAAACCUCACUGCUGCUCUGACUGUGGGAAACGUUUCAAAUCUUCAUCAGAAUUGAAAAAACACCAGCGAUUACACACAGGAGAGAAGCCUUAUAGCUGUAAUCAAUGUGGGAAGAGUUUUACUCAGUCAAGCCACCUGGUAUCACACAAGAGAACACACACAGGAGAGAAGCCUUAUAGCUGUGAUCAGUGUGGCAAGAGUUUUACUCAGUCAAGUAGCCUGGUAUCACACCAGAGAACACACACAGGAGAGCAACCAUAUAGCUGUGAUCACUGUGGCAAGGGUUUUACUCUGUCAACCAACCUGGUAUCACACCAGAGAACACACACAGGACAUCAGCCAUAUAGCUGUGAUGUAUGUGCAGACAGUUUUACUACAUCAAGCCAGCUGGUAGUACACCAGCGAGUACACACAGGAGAGAAACCUUAUAGCUGUAAUCAGUGUGGGAAGAGUUUUACUCAGUCAAACAGCCUGAAAUCACACCAGAGAACACACACGGGAGAGAAACCUUAUAGCUGUGAUCAAUGUGACAAGAGAUACUCUCAUUCAAGUAGUCUGAUUAAACAUCAGAAAAUACAUGCUGGAGAUCCACAGAGUGUGGAAUGAUCUCCAACACCAGACCUGGGUAGCAGAACACAGAGUGUAGAAUGAUCUCCAACACCAGACCUGGGUAGGAGAACACAGUGUGGAAUGAUCUCCAACACCAGACCUAUAUACAGUUGAUGUCAUAAGUUUACAUACACCUUAGCCAAACAGAUUUAUAAUCAGUUUUUCACAAUUCCUGACAUUUAAUCCUAAUAGAAAUUCCCUGUCUUAUGUCAGUUAGGAUCACCACUUUAUUUUAAUGUGAAAUGUCUGAAUAAUAGUAGAGAGAAUUAUUUAGAUCAGCUUUUAUUUAUUUCGUCACAUACCCAGUGUGUCAGAAGUUUACAUACACUCAAUUAGUAUUUGGUAGCAUUGCCUUUAAAUUGUUUAACUUGGGUCAAACGUUUCGGGUUGCCUUCCACAAGCUUCCCACAAUAAGUUUUGGCCCAUUCCUCCUGAUAGAGCUGGUGUAACUGUGGCAGGUUCAUAGGCCUCCUUGCUCACACACACACACACUUUAUUUAUUUAUUUUUUAUUUCACCAGGUAGGCUAGUUGAGAACAAGUUCUCAAUUGCAACUGCGACCUGGCUAACAUAAAGCAAUUUGACACAUACAACAACACAGAGUUACACAUGGAAUAAACAAAACAUACAGUUAAUAAUACAGUAGAAAAAAGAAAACAAGUCUAUACACAGUGAGUGCAAAUUAGGUAAGAUAAGGAAGUUAAGGCAAUAAAUAGGCCAUGGUGGCAAAGUAAUUACACUUUAGCACUUAAACACUGGAAUGGUAGAUGUAUUGUUACACCAUGUAGGAGCAGUAUAGACCGAGUUUAUUCAUUAUAUACAUCUACAUGAUGUAUUGUUACACCAUGUAGGAGCAGUAUGGACCUAGUCUGUUCAUUAUAUACAUCUACGUGAUGUAUUGUUACACCAUGUAGGAGCAGUAUAGACCUAGUCUGGUCAUUAUAUACAUCUACAUGAUGUAUUGUUACACCAACAAAAUGAAGGGAAGUAACCAGCUUUUGGGCUAAAAUAUCCUGGUAGUGGGUAGAGUUGAUUUAUUUUAUACAUACAUAUACGCACAUCUUUAUCAAGGGUAUCUAUAACUAGGUGCUUAUUUUGAUAUCUAGUUAUUUGACUGAAUCAGAAAUACAGAUGUUGAGUAGAUGUGGAGUUUGUUUUAAAUUCUCAUAAAAAAUAUGAACUUAUCAAACAACACGUGUUGCUCUUUGUACGUGUUGAUAUAAUAUUCAUAUUUAAUGUAGAGAAAAAAACGUUUCCCUAAACUGCUUUAUAAUAUUAUAAUUCUCGACCAUGAGCUCACAAAGCUACUCUCCUGCUAAAGAAGAGCAGGUCUGCUGGACGGAUGAAAGAAGCUCUCGUGAAAGAGGAGGAGAAAGACGUUACAAUACAAAAACAAGUAGAGAGUGAGGCUGUCACAGUGAAAGAAGAAGAGGAAGACGCAUUCAGAGUGAAAGAGGAGGAGGAUGUUACUGUGAAAGAAAAGGAGGAAGAUUGCAGUUUUUGGAGUGGAGGAUGAAAUGAAAGAAGAUGAAAAUGUUUUUGGAAUGAAGGAUGAAGAGGGGGAGAUUACUGUCACAUUAGAGGAGGACGAAGAAGAGAAGACUGGAGAUCUGAUUAACACCAGUAAAUACAGAGAGAGACCAGACUCUCCUUCUGACAGCAGGAAGAGUCCUUCAGGGGAACCAGACCCUGAGACGUCCAAACCAGCUGGACGACAUCGCUGCUCCGAGUGUGGAAAGAGUUUUGCUCAGUUCGGGAGCCUGAAAACACACAAGAGAAUACACACUGAAGAGAAGCCUUACCACUGCUCCUUGUGCAGAAGGCGUUUUAGGUGGUUAUGGAGCUUGGAAAGGCAUGAGAGGACACACACUGGAGAGAAGCCUUACCAAUGUUCCCAUUGUGUAAAGCAUUUUGCAUCAGAUGACACACACAGGAAAAAAGACUUACCACUGCUCCCACUAUGCAAAGAGAUUUACCUGGUUAAGGUUCCUGAAAGAACAUGAAAGAAUACAUACAAAUACACAGAAGGAGAAGACAUAGCACUGCUCUCAUUGUGGAAAUACAUUUUUCCAGUCAGAGGACCUGAAAACACAUGAGAGAAUAGAGAGUCUGUGUUCUGACUUGUCUUUUUGACUGAGAAUGUGUGUUUUUGUUUGGGCUGUCGGACUUGAGAUAACUUUUUGUAAUGAAGACUAGCUGCUCCCUUGGCAGGAACUAAUGGGGAUCCAUAAUAAACCCCAGGAAGAGUAGCUGCUCCCUUGGCAGGAUAUAAUGGGGAUCCAUAAUAAACCCCAGGAAGAGGAGCUGCUGCCUUGGCAGGAACUAAUGGAGAUCCAUAUUAAACCCCAGAAAGAGUAUCUGCUGCCUUGGCAGGAACUAAUGGGGAUCCAUAAUAAACCACAGGAAGAGUAGCUGCUGGCUAUAUUUGUCUCUCUUUACUCUCGGAUUCUAAAAUGCUAAUUAGCAUCAAAGCAGACAACAUGCAAGACUACAAAUCCCUGCAAGCUCCUGCAUGUCAUCUCUAGCCGACACCUUUUACACAACAGUUCACUGAAUUGUUCAUUGAAAUAAAUUUUGACAAUUUAGUCAUUGCUACAUUAAGGCCUGAUUGGUGGAGUCCUGCAGAGACGGUUGUCCUUCUGGAAGGUUCCCCCAUCUCCACAGAGGAAAUCUGCAGCACUGUCAGAGUGAACAUCAGGUUCUUGUUCACCUCCCUGACCAAGGCCCUGCUCCCCCGAUUUCUCAGUUUGGCGGGGCUGCCAGCUCUAGGAAGAGUCUUGGUGGUUACAAACUUCUUCCAUUUAAGAAUGAUGGAGGCCUCUUUGUUCUUGGGGACCUUCAAUGCUGUAGACAUUUUUUGGAACCCUUUCCCAGAUCUGUGCCUCGACACAAUCCUGUCUCAGAGCUCUAUGGACAAUUCCUUGGGACCUCAUGGCUUGGUUUUUGCUCUGACAUGCACUGUCGACUAUGGGACCUUAUAUAGACAGAUGUGUGCCUUUUCAAAUCAUGUCCAAUCAAUUGCAUUUACCACAAGUGGACUCCAAUCAAGUUGUAGAAACAUCUCAAGGAUGAUCAAUGGAAUCAGGAUGCAACUGAGCUCAAUUUCGAGUCUCAUAGCAAAAGGUCUGAAUACCUAAGUAAAUACAUUUGAAAAAAUCUCUAAAAAGCUGUUUUCACUUUGCCUUGAAUAAGGCUGUAAUGUAACAAAAUGUGGAAAAUGUGAAGGGUCUGAAUACUUUACUUUUCUACUGCAGUUUUGUACAUGAUCAAAUCAAAGUUUAUACACUGUCAUGUGAUACGUGAUAUAGAAAAGUCCAAUCUUAGGAGAGUACAUGGGAGGCACUAUACUGUGUGUCUGCAGGUGUCUAUCAGGGCAAAACCACUGAUACAGUGCCUUGCGAAAGUAUUCGGCCCCCUUGAAC